rnacentral:rRNA from 1 species
UACGGAGGAUCCAAGCAUUAUCCGGAUUUAUUGGGUUUAAAGGGUGCGUAGGCGGCCUGUUAAGUCAGGGGUGAAAGACGGUAGCUCAACUAUCGCAGUGCCCUUGAUACUGACGGGCUUGAAUGAACUAGAGGUAGGCGGAAUGUGACAAGUAGCGGUGAAAUGCAUAGAUAUGACAUAGAACACCCAUUGCGAAGGCAGCUUACUACGGAUAUAUUGACACUGAGGCUCGAAAGCGUGGGGAUCAAACAGG